rnacentral:rRNA from 1 species
GACAGAGGGUGCAAACGUUGUUCGGAAUUACUGGGCGUAAAGCGCGUGUAGGCGGUCUUGAAAGUCGGAUGUGAAAUCCCGGGGCUCAACCCCGGAACUGCCUUUGAUACUGGGUGUCUAGAGUAUGGAAGAGGAGAAUGGAAUUCCUGGUGUAGCGGUGAAAUGCGCAGAUAUCAGGAAGAACACCCGUGGCUAAGGCGGUUCUCUAGUACGGUACUGACGCUGAGACGCGAAAGCGUGGGGAGCGAACAGG